rnacentral:rRNA from 1 species
GAUGAACGCUGGCGGCGUGCCUAAUACAUGCAAGUCGAGCGAACAGACGAGGAGCUUGCUCCUCUGACGUUAGCGGCGGACGGGUGAGUAACACGUGGAUAACCUACCUAUAAGACUGGGAUAACUUCGGGAAACCGGAGCUAAUACCGGAUAAUAUAUUGAACCGCAUGGUUCAAUAGUGAAAGACGGUUUUGCUGUCACUUAUAGAUGGAUCCGCGCCGCAUUAGCUAGUUGGUAAGGUAACGGCUUACCAAGGCAACGAUGCGUAGCCGACCUGAGAGGGGGUGAGGCAAAAUGGGACCUGACACCGGGACCGCACACCUACGGGAGGAACAAGUAGGGAUUUGUCGGAAAGGGGCGAAAGCCUAACGGAUCACUGCUGAGGGAGUAACAAAGGUUUUAGUACCGAAAAACUCUUUUAUAAGGAAAAAACAAAUGUGAACGAAAUAAUGCCCGCCUGCAGGUUACCUAAUAAGAAGGCCACGGCUAAGUAGGUC